rnacentral:tRNA from 1 species
GUGGUCGUCGCCUAGUGGCCUAAGGCGUCGGGCUGUGACCCCGGGAUCGUCAGUUCGAAUCUGACCGACCACCCCA